rnacentral:rRNA from 1 species
CGAGUUACCCUAUGUGGCAAGCUUAAGACCGAAAGGCGUAGGCGAAGCGAAAGCGAGUCUGAACAGGGCGUUCAGUCGCAUGGGGUAGACCCGAAACGGUUGAUCUACCCAUGGUCAGGUUGAAGCGCGGGUAAAACCGCGUGGAGGACCGAACUCACCGGUGUUGAAAAACUGGGGGAUGAACUGUGGGUAGGGGUGAAAGGCCAAUCAAACACCGAAAUGGCUGGUUCUCCCCGAAAUAUAUCUAGGUAUAGCGUCGCGUAUGACCUCGGGAGGUAGAGCACUGAAUGGGCUAGGGGUCUCACCAGAUUACCAAACCCAAUCAAACUCCGAAUGCCCGAGAGUCGAGCGCGGCAGUCAGUCGGCGGUGAUACGUCCGUCGUACGAAAAGGAACGAACCC